rnacentral:lncRNA from 1 species
UCCUCAUUAGCUCAAAAUAGUUUUCGCUCUUCUGUACCUGCCUGCGAGUUGCCAUUGCCCCUCCGAAAUGAUAUACAUACAAUCCUUUUAUAUCUAUCAUCAAUAAAACCCAAAUUAGUCCUAAUUUAUGGAGAAGUAGUAUUAUGUUGAUGCUGAAAGAAGGGGUUUAAAUGGGUAUUUUUACCGAUUCUACGGUAGUUCUAAUCGGAAGACGGACAUAAAUAAAUUGAGACCACUUAUUUUGGAGAGGGUAAAAAAUCGAACAAAAGACUAUCCAGUAAAAUCCAUGAUUCCUUUGGCCGAAAAUGUCCGCAAAUGCAGAACCCUUCUUAUCCAAGGCUUUUCCACCCUUCUUCAAUUCAUUCCGUAUGGUCCUGCAUGUAUUCUCUCACAAUCUUCUCGCUCCGCUCUCUCUACAUGUAUACACAGAAUACGAUAUGAAGAAGAAGAAUAUAAUUAGAAUUAGAGCGGGAUCAAAUGAAGCAGAAAGCUGAUUUCGAAUGAGUAAAUCAAAAAUAAAAUCAGAUCCGUCAAAUCGAAGAAGAAAUUGUGGAUGGAGAUGGAGACGAAUCGAAGUUGCGGUGUAGGUAAGCGAAGAAGAAAAAGAAUAGAGAGCGGUGAUGGAUAACCGAAGAACCAAACCAUCGAAGCAGAAGAGAGCAGUGUUGGGUAUUUGGAUAAAAUCGGGUGCUCAGAUCUAUUCAGCCCAUUCAACUAUUUUUUUUUUAAAAAAAAAAGCCAAACACCGCAACUUCUCUCUUCUGAUUUAAUC